rnacentral:rRNA from 1 species
UACGUAGGGUGCGAGCGUUAAUCGGAAUUACUGGGCGUAAAGCGUGCGCAGGCGGUUUUGUAAGCCAGAUGUGAAAUCCCCGGGCUUAACCUGGGAACUGCAUUGGUGACUGGCAGGCUUUGAGUGUGGCAGAGGGAGGUAGAAUUCCACGUGUAGCAGUGAAAUGCGUAGAGAUGUGGAGGAAUACCGAUGGCGAAGGCAGCCUCCUGGGCCAACACUGACGCUCAUGCACGAAAGCGUGGGGAGCGAACGGGA